AUUGUUGUGAAAAUAGAUGUGUAAGCAGGUUCACUGUCCAAACCACACUGAAAAAAAGGAAGCCAUGCAUCAGAAAGAUUUGAAUUAGUAUCAUCAAAUGUUUUCUAUUUUAAAGAAAAAUGGAAUAGUAUCCUGUAGACUCUAAACCAUGUGCUGAGAAAGUACAUAAACGCAUUUGGUUCAUGAAAAAAGUCCAAGCAGGCGCCAAUACUGUCACUACGCAGCUACGUUAUUUUGCAUUAUUUGUAGUAGUAAGCAGACACUAAUGAAAGAAUAUACUAUAGGUUCACUUUGUGCUCAAAUGUUUUGUAAACGUCCCAGAAUUAAACUUAUUAGACGGUAAAAUUGCAUCUAUUUGAAAAAGUGGUACUCAAACAAUUCCCUUACUUCCCUUACUGCAGCAAACCGCGUUUGACGCCAUAUUGCCUCAGCGAAGACUUGUUCCGUGGUGACAAACUAUGCAUCUGUUUCUAAGUACUCUUAUUCUUUGAAGACUCAUUCGUUUUUGCUCGUUGUGCAUAACGUUUGUAGGAAUGUUGAUGGUUCCAUCUGCAUCUUGCUUAGCUGAAAUAAUAAUCUGUUAUUGUUUAUUCUGGUUUAGUUUUUGCAGAUUGACAAACAAGCUUCUUCAUGUCAUGGACUUGUGUGCAGGCUCAGCACAACGAGGCAUUUCCAGAACCGGUGUCUGUUAUACAGUACCAUGAAGUCCUUGGCACUGUUGUAAGUCUGAGGUUUUAAGUAAAAUGCAGUAACAGCAAACAUCUCUGACCGUCUACGUCACUGUGAGUGUCACGCGUUCUAAGUGCUGUUUCCAGCAGUGACUCUUCUUCUAAAUAAUUCUGACUCAUGUAAGGUGAAAGUCUUAGGCAAUUGUCUGUCUGUUAAUAGUGCUGAAUGGUGGCUUGGAUGCCGAUCACUUCCUCAGAUCACCAGGUUUCCUCCACCGUCCUUCACUCAGCUUCUGAUGAGCCCUGUGUCUGACCUGGAGCACGUUCUUCCCCUGGGUCCAAAUAUCUCAACACUUGGAUGAAGACUGGGCUCCAGUCAUCUUAAAUCCACGGUUUGAGCAGUUUGGCCAACGGCAGGCCUUUCCUCAGAUUUACAAACUUUGGGAGGAUUUUAUUUUGGCAGUUCUGCCCAUGAGACCAGCUGACGUCAGUCUCCUGUGUCCUGUGUUCAGACGCAGGCGUCUGUUUCUCAAGAAAGAAGCUCGUUAGUCCAAUAAUCCAAUAUUCAAAUAUAUUUUCUAUAUAUUAAUGGCUUCUCUAAUUAUUAUUUACAGCAUUCAUUAAUAAGCCCACAAUGUUCAUCAGGCCUUUGGAGCUCCAACAGAAAAAUGUUACAUCACUGUUGUCAUUUUCUUUCUGCCAUCCUUUGCACUUAUUUCCUCAUCACAUCCCCCUGAUGACUUUUUCCCCUUAAUUCUGUCGAACACUUUUACCGGCAAGAAAGCAACUUCCUGUAUCUGGGUCCGAACCCGUGCAGUCAGCAGCAUUCACUUCCUGAACAAAUGUUUAUCUGCUUUUCAGUAUGUCUAGAGGUUUACAUUUACAAGGCUCUGUGGCUACCACUAGCAUAACUCAGUUCAUAUUUUUAUUAUAUAAAAUGCAUAGGUUUCUGUUCAUCUAUUUUUAUGCCCAAUCCUUUGCUUCAGUAAAUAUCUGUGGUUUCCACUCAGACAUGAGUUGGCCAGACGCUCAACCUCCUUUUUUUUUUCCUCUCCAUGGCGAGUCCUGGUUUUUAUUUUGCCAGUCAAGCUCUCAAAUCAACUCCAGGACGAGGCAGGUGUAAGCCAAGCUCCCGUAGCGGUGUUUCAGAUUUACAUGAAUCAUUCUCGCUGAGGCCUAGUCAAAUGAAAUCGUUUGUGUGCACAGUGGCAGACGUGCAGGCGGACGCGGGCGAAGUAAUCCUCGCCAGCCCCGUCUCAGACAGACAGGAAGACGGGAAUGAGGAAAGGAAAUCAAAAGCCAGUAACACAAGACUUCACUGAAUUUCCAUUUCGAUUCCCAUGAGCCUCCUCAGUGCCCCCCGCCCCCUCCCCACCAGCAGCACACUCAUUCUUUCCCCUCUCUGUAGGAAGACGACUUUCCUCACCUCCUGCGUCACCCCUUGACCUUUGAGCCGCCACUCAUUGCUCUCUGUCCCAGUCUCCCGACCAGAAACCUGCAGCCCGCAGCCACCGGUCUGCCUGCAGAGCGGGGAUAAACACUCUUUUCCCACCCUGUGGCGAUAAUGAAGCUGCGGAGAGGAGGCAGACAAACUUCUCCUCCUCUCCACUCACGGGGUUCUGCCUUCGGCACGGCUGCACUGAGCCCAUCAUUAAGUAGCCUUUGAAGGGACUUUUAUCACAGCAGUGAGCAUGGGGUUGGGAAAAAGCCAUGGAACGACACCCGGGUGUUUGAAGACCAACAUCAAGCUGAACACGCACAUCUGUAACAGCUGUGUCUGAAUGAACCUUGACCCUGACAAGCCAUCGGCGGGUUAUCCUCAUGUCAUGGAGAAAGGCAGAAACAAAUAUUCAGGGUGGUCCUUGUUUGUGAGCGUGUGUGUUUGUGUGUAUACAUUUCCUUUGGCAGGUUUUCAAAUGAGUCCUUCUCACAGUGUUUGGACAGUGUUGGGUUUCUUCAGCUCCUGCUGCUCACUGUGCCUUCUAGAGGCUCUGUCUGUCUCCCAUAUGGCCCAGCAGCACUCACGAAUUUAAAACAGCUCACGUGGGGGUUCGGGGGAGAUGUGGAUAUAAGUAAACAGUGCAACAGUGCAAUUUUUCUAGGCUUUAUUGAGACUUCAAAAACUUGGCUGUCUGCGCUGCUAAUGUGUUAAAGAUCAUGUUUAUGUAAAACACAUUCAGAAAUCGAGAAGUUUAAGAAGGCUUCAGCUUGGUAACUGCGGACUUAAGCAUUCCUGCGUUUCCCACGGGCCCCAUGAGUCCAGCACCGGGUUGUGAUCCAGCAUCAGUCACUAGAUAAACACACACACACACACAAAUAUAAAUCAUUUGAUCCAACGGGCUUCUGGGUUUUUGUUUCUACCGGUGAACGGAGCUGUCGGUUCCAUCCCCAGUCUUGUUCCUAGCAACUGCUUUUGUUUUGCUCAUCUUCUGCGUCUGGUACACGCAUCAGCGGCAGGAUGCUGAACACUACCUGGCCUUUACCCAGCCAAGCCUUUGAUAAAUGCAUCCGCUCUGACCUAGGCAAGAACAUAUCUGGGAGCGCUGUUCACCCUGUGGCUAAUAAAAAAUGAUGAAAUAUG